rnacentral:misc_RNA from 1 species
UCUCUCUUCAUCCACGCCCUCUUGCGCAUUUUUUUGCGUGUUCUGUGCCGUUUCCCCUGACGCCGUUUUUGCACGGCACACGGUGUUACACUUGCGUACCCGACCACUGCGCCACGCAGGUUCCUUCACCCCUGGCAAACUUAGUCACGCUUUCCCCACACUCAGACACGACGUACACGGAUACCGACAGUACGUUUUCAUUCUUCUUUUUGGCCAUCUGCUGUCUGCGCACUAUCGGUCGCUUGUCUACAGAAUUUUCUGAAGACCAAGCCCUCAUUGUUUUUCUCUCUCCCUCUCCCUCUCACGCUUUCGUGUCUUCGCGGCUCCCCCUCAGGCGACGGCCGCCGGCUGCCGAAGUUCGCAUUCAGUCGUCAACCCUUCUGCACCCCUCCACCUCUCUGCUGCCCUUCGAGCUGGGGGGGGGCUGGCAUUCUUUUCGCCAUUGUUCUCACGCUCCUUCAGUUGACCGCACUGCAGCCGUUGGAGCUCCCGCAGCAUCGCAAAAAAAAACGAAAGGGUAACAGCUGCGCAACUGCUCGCUGACCACGUUGCCCCGUACGUCUGUGUCUGCGUCCCACAUUUCGGCGUGCAGCUUCGACGGAGAAGCUGGGGCAUGCCCUCGAAGGCCGCACUGCUGACUGUCUUGGCGGGGAGUGGCCAGGAGCAUCUCGUUGACGACUACGACGCGCUUUCGCCAUCAGAGCAGACGACACUGGCGACUCAAAUUCUGUCGUACACGAAUGCGCAGUGGAAGCACAUGAACGUGAUUCUGCGAGACAGCCUGCGCCACCUGAAUUCGAGCAACGCCGCGGCAGGUACAGGAGGGGGCAACGCUGCGAAGGCUGCCUCACAGAUUACGCCUCCUCCGGCGGACACGAUCAUCAAUGUUCCUGCUCUCCUCGCCAAGAGGCCCAGCGAGCUGGCAGCUAUCCGAGCCGCUGGCAUGCGCGUGGUCGCGAACGGUGAGGGGGCGGUGCUGCUGAUGGCGGGCGGAAGCGGCACCCGUCUUGGCAUGACCAUCCCAAAAGGUAUGCUCGAGUGCGACAAGCUCGUCAGCGGACGCUCGCUCUUUGCGUACCACUGCCAGCGCAUCCGCAAGAUGGAGAGGAUGGCCGCUGCCGCUGCCGCAUCGCCAUCGCAGUCGUCUGCUGUAGCUGCAGCAGGUGGUGCGUCCGUGCCAGUGGGCGCCGGCCGUGGGACAAUGCCGCUGCUGGUCACGACGUCAGACCAGAAUGACACCGUGACGCGGCAGUUUUUUCACGAACAUAACUUCUUUGGGCUGCUUCCCGAUCAGGUGUUCUUUUCUCGUCAAUGCUCACUCCCGUGCUACGACGAGGCGUCGGGGCGAGUGCUGAUGGAGGCGAGAGGCAGUAUUUGCCUCGCACCGGGCGGUAACGCCGGCGUCUACGAGAGUUUGGCCAAGGCGUCCGCCACAACGUCUGGCAGCCAGAGCGUGCUGGCGCAAAUCGAAGCACGGGGCGUGCGCUAUGUUCAAAUCGUGAGUGUGGACAACAUCCUCGCCAGGGUGGGUGAUCCGUACUUCUUCGGCGUGGCCGCAUCAUGCCAGGCUGAGGUAGUCCUCAAGACGGUGCCAAAGGUGUCAGCGGCCGAGAAAGUCGGUGUCGUGGCGCAGGUGGACGGCGAAUGGGCCGUCGUCGAGUACACGGAGAUUGGGGAUAGACGUUCCGCCGAAAAAGAUCCGGCAACGGGCGAGCUUGCUUUCAACUGCGGCAACAUCGCUUCCCACUGCUGCUCCCUUGAUUUUCUGGCGUUUGCUGCCACGUACAUGGAGACGAGCACCUUUUACCACGCAGCCCGCAAGACGAUUCCGACCAUUAACGGCCCCGCCCCCGCGAUCAAGCUUGAGGCGUUUAUCUUUGACGUCUUCCGCUACGCGAAGGACGUACCGAGUCGGGCGGAGCGAGCCAAGAAGGCGCCGCUGCCGGACGCAUUGCAGAUUCUGCAGGUGGACCGCAGCAUGGAGUUUGCGCCGAUUAAGAACGCUGAUGGCGCUGCCGCGGACACGCCAAUGACCGCCGCUCAGCUGCUCUUGGACCUGCACACCAAAUGGGUGGCCGAGGCUAUCGAAGCGGCUCCGGGGACCUGUGCAGCGGCUUCAAUCAGCACGCCGGGAAUGUACACGACACAGGAGCGCGCGACGGCGCUCCAGCGACUACGUGACGGGCAGUGUUGCUGGGAAAUCUCUCCUCUCGUCUCGUAUGAGGGCGAGGGGCUCGCGGCAUACGUAGGGCAGUUGAUUCACCGAUCUGCCACUGGCAUCGGUGUCUUAGGCCUGGAAGAGACAACAGCGGGCACGGCGAGCAUAUGACAGCGAAAUCGAGACGAAAGGGGACAACGAGACGUGCUGGUUUCUUUUGCAGACGACUACAGGUGCACCACAGGACCCCGCUUUGUGCCUCUCGGUGGAUCCUCUGAGCUCAUCUUCGGCCCUCUUUUGCGUGCAGGCUUCCAGAUCGUCGUCCCCACUUUUCUCCUCAAGGCAGGCGCUCCCACCACUGAUGAACGCGCGCACGUACGUCGUUAACUUAAUUUGCAACCGCUUCGCUUUCUCUUCUCUUCAUGGCGACAAGGGCGUGCGUGCGUUCGACCUUCUGCACAGCCCCGUUUUCGCUGUUCUCUCCCCUGUGAGCGUGCGUGUUGAGUCUGUGCCUUCUUUUUCGCUUUAGGGGGGGGGGCUGCGGAUUCCACCUUUGUGUGACGGACUUCCCCCCUCCUCAUGGCCCCUCAGCACGGGUCCUACAGAGGUGGGAGAUGCCGUAUGACGAUGUACCUGGGUACAGGUGCUGUCUGUUGCACACCACGCUGUUAAUGUGGUACUCUACACCACUGUCCGUGCCGGCUUGUGCUGUAAGGGCGCCCGACUCGGCGCUAUGCCUGGUGUGCUACGCGCGAUGUGCGGAUCGCUCGACGCUCACAUCACGCCCCGUCUCCCUCUGUGGCCGUGCACGCAGUGACCUGUUUACGCACAUCUCCCUUGAGCGACAUGGCCUUUCCCCGCCGGCUGACCAUCGCUGCCCCCUAUGCCCCUUCACAAGGACAAGCUGCGGGCUCUUUGUGCGCCGGCACAUGCGUCUCCGCGGGGCCCCUUCCGCUUGACACACCGACUCCUGCCCAGGGGCGUGCGGGCUGAGGAGAGGGCGGAGUGCCCCUGCCGCCACAGACUCAUGGCAUCGCUCCACCUGUCGCUGCGCGUGCGGGCACGACUCCGCGACAGCGACACCGUGCUUAAGCAGACCCCGCCAUGCCACAAGGCGAGCACGGUGCGCACGCGCUGUCAAGCAGAGCUGGCAUGGCGCAUCGCACCCAGGCAAGGCAUCAAGAGGGGCGCAGAGCAGGAUUGCCCCACGGGCAAGACGUGGAGCGAUGCACACGAAUCAGCUCCAUAGUGCAUGCGCGCGAAGCAUGCAGCAUCUCCUGCAUCUGACCGGUGCGGGCUGAUGAGGCGCAGAUGCCAAAGGCAUCGUGAAGGCACCCUCGAGCUCCACCACCGGGUCCUCCAGACUCCCACGUGCAGAGCCUCCACACCAUAUUAUGGGAUGCCGCCGCUUGAAGCGACUGAGGGGACGAAGCGUGGCACACAGGCAGGGGGGGCGUAGGACCUCGGGGGGGGCCUGACCCUGAGGCUGGCGGACUUCGUCCCUGCGCUCAUCCGGCAUGCGCCUUGGCCACCCCCCGUUGCCCGCACGGCAGACGCUACUGCCUCGGCUCUAGACGACGACCCUGGAUGUCGCUCGCUUUAGAUGAGGGCAUGCAACCCACACGCGUCUCCAUGUGGAGCCGAUCGCGCCGCACGCAUGCAGGGAAGGGACGAGGAAGGAGAGGGAGGCCCCGCUAGGCGCACGGCUUCGAUUCGACGGCAGACGACGAGGGAGGCAGCCUGCAGCGCAGCAGGCGCAGGUGCACUGUGGCUGUGUAAUGCGCACGUUUUGUUGGCUUGUUUGUCGGCGAAUGUGGACAAUUUGACGAGACGAAAAAUAAAUGACGUGUAUGCGUAUGAUUGAAGCUGGAAUCGCUUCCGCCGUCAG